GACGAACGCUGGCGGCGUGCUUAACACAUGCCAGUCGAACGGAAAGGCCUCUUUCUGGGGGUACUCGAGUGGCGAACGGGUGAGUAACACGUGAGUAACCUGCCCUUGACUUUGGGAUAACUUCAGGAAACUGGGGCUAAUACCGGAUAGGAGCUCCUGCUGCAUGGUGGGGGUUGGAAAGUUUCGGCGGUUGGGGAUGGACUCGCGGCUUAUCAGCUUGUUGGUGGGGUAGUGGCUUACCAAGGCUUUGACGGGUAGCCGGCCUGAGAGGGUGACCGGCCACAUUGGGACUGAGAUACGGCCCAGACUCCUACGGGAGGCAGCAGUGGGGAAUAUUGCACAAUGGGUGGAAGCCUGAUGCAGCAACGCCGUGUGCGGGAUGACGGCCUUCGGGUUGUAAACCGCUUUCGCUCAUGACGAAGCUUUGUGUGACGGUAGUGGGUAAAGAAGCACCGGCUAACUACGUG
rnacentral:rRNA from 1 species